AGAGACCUUUCUCUUGUCAUGUGUUGUGUGUCAUCACUCACUAGAAUCACCAUCCUGGCUGUAUGAGGUCAUGGUCACGGGAUUGAUCAGCACACAGCUUGAAUAGGUCUCAGUUUGACUUGGAGUUGUUGUUCACAGGGUAAAAAACAACAACAUAAGUAUAGCUGGUUUCUGCUGGUCGGUAACGUAGCUCGUCUAAAGAACAGCCUGUGCUUGAUGGAACAGAGGCCUGAGAUCCAUCCAGUCCAGCUCUGUGAUUGGCUGGAGCAGCAUUGCGGUGUCACCGCACAGGCCUUUAAUUGUUGGAAUGGGAAUCCAACGAUACUGUCUCAGUACAUGGAGUAGGAGAUUCCCAUGAAGCUUCCCCCUGUCUUUGAAGAUAUACAGCUUUGUUUAUCUGGCUUCUUGUUUUGUCAUGAGCUAUAAAAACAAAUAAAUAUUUGAUUGCCAUUUUAACACAAUACUGUAGCGAUCAUUUCUUAUUAAGAAAUUAUUCAGUUGAUGAAUUGCUGCCAUUCUUUUUAAAUAUUGAAAAGAAAACCAUGGAAAAUACCACAAGUGUUUUCUUUGAACAGUUUGUGUACAGUUUUUAUUUUUGUAUCAUUCUGGUGGAUGGUCUAGAAACAGAACUAUAAUGACAUAUUGAUAAUAUAACUGUUAGCGUUAUCACCGCUUGUUUUGUAUAUUUUGUAAUGUUAGAUUGUAAAUUAGAAAUGUAUUCAGGUCAUUAUCAUUGAUAAUUAACCACGUUUAGUUAUAAGAAAAUAACUAAAUCAGUAAAACACUACUGGCCACAGCAUCACGUUUCCUUCUCUUUUUCUGUCCUCAUCUUUCCUCUGUCUUUCUCUUUUGUGCUAUCAUUGUUCUCACACAGAGAAAUGUGUACAUUUCAUUAUUAGAUUAUUAGAUGGAUUGGAGGAAUCAGGAUCAGAUGAAUCAUCAGAAAAAUGAAAAUAUUUUGUACCAGAACUUUAUUUUAAGGGAGGUUGUAGGGUAGACAAUGUGGUUGAAGUAGUAUGUGGGUACAGUAUGUGUUUUUUGGAGGAUUUGGUAGUUAUGUCUCACACUGGUUCCGUUGGACCUGGUUUCAAGCCUUAGUUUUUUUUCUAUUGUGCUAUUCCAUGUAUGCCCAUGCCAUAUUGCGCAAGUCAUAAUCAAUGAAAACUAUUCAUUAUCAAUAUGCCAUGUAGGAGUGAUGGUGAGUAAUUGACAGAUGUGUAUGGUGAAGCAAGAGGUAAAAAACAAGAGGGUUCUGAGAGAGACAUUGUGUAGCCAUUUUGAAAUGAGCACCUCCACUUCUUGGUCAGUUUUGUCAUAUUAGACUCCCUCCGAGAACAAUUAUCUGGGCUUUAAAUCAUGUGUUACUUGUUCACAAGUUAGGAAAAUUAUAUAAAUGGAAAAAACACCAUGAAAUGAUUGUAAUAUUUGUAAAUUAUAUUGCUGUAAUGUGUAAAAUGUGUCCAAGUUAUUUUUUAUUAUAUUAUUUUUAUGAAAGGUUUUCUUCUGAGAGAACUGAGGUGUUAUUUUGUGAAUAAAAUGCAUUUAAUAAGCAAACAGCUAUAUAAUACAAUUAUAUAUCAGUCUAUUUUUAUUUUAUUUCACUGUUCGGUACUGUAAAGU
rnacentral:lncRNA from 1 species